rnacentral:lncRNA from 1 species
AAGAAAAUCAAGGAAGGGAGGUCCCAUCGCCGCGCAGCAGAAAUGAAUCUGACUAGGAACCCUGAGGAGGUUCGAUCGAACCCGCAACCCCGAGGUUCGAUCCCUGGCCUUGCUCAUGGGUUAAGGAUCUGGCACUGCUGUGAGCUGUGGUGUAGGUCACAGACUCGCCUCAGAUCUGAUGUGGCUGUGGCUGUGGUGCAGGCCAGCAGCUGUAGCUCUGAUUCGACCCCUAGCCUGGGAAACUCCAUAUGCCGCAUGCUGCAGGUGUGGCCCUAAAAAGCAAAAAAAAAAAAAACAAAGUCAAGAAAGGCAUCACCUGUGUGUGAAGACUUCUUCACUGACUCAGGCUGCGUGAGAGCACCAGGUUCCUGUCAUAGCUCAGUGGUUAACGAACCCGACUAGGAACCAUAAGGAUGCAGGUUCGAUUCCUGGCUCCCCUUCAGCAAGGUCUGGUAUUGCCUUGAGCUGUGGUGUAGGGUUGCAGACCCAGUUUGGACCCUGCGUUGCUGUGCCUGCGCCUAAUAGGCCAGCACAACCCCCAGCUUGGGAACCUCCAUGUACCGAGGGUGUGGCCCUAAAACGCAAGUAAAUAAGUACUCAUACCACCAUGAUGUAAAUGGUAUUGGCUGACAGAGUUUCAAUCCCUGGGUCCUGAGUUAAAGGAUCCAGUGUUUCCCAUCCUGCCUUAGCAGGGAUGAAUCAGAGAUCGAAUCCACAGGGGCACAGGUUCGAUCCCUGGCCUCGUUCAGUGGGUUAAGGCCCCAGCGUUGCCUUGAGCUGUGGUGUAAGUCAUGGACGCAGCUCAGCUCUGGCGUGGCUGUGGCUGUGGUGUGGGCUGGCAGUUUGUAGCUCCAAUUCCAUCCCUAGCCUAGGAACUACCAUAUGCUGCAGGUACAGCCCUAAAUAAACCAAAAACCAGAAAAACCAAAACUAUUGCCUAGUUCAUAGCAUCUUUCUGUUCUUUUCUGUUCAUUUCUUACCAGAGAUGCUUAUGCAAGUAACAUUUUAAGCAUGUAAUUCAGCUAAUAAUUAUGUAAACCUCUUAUGAAAUAAGUUAUAAAGGGGUUGUUUCUAUGAAAAGUAGGUUUAGAAACAGCAGAAUCCUUUUAAAGAAAUGAGCUGCUGCAAGUUCCCUAGUGGCUCUGUGCACUGCUGCAGCUGUGGCGUAGGAGGGUUUGAUCCCUGGCCCGGGGAACUUCCACAUGCUCUGGGUGAGACAGAAAAGGAAAGAUUUUUUUCUUUCCUGUACCUGCAGCAUGCAGAAGUUCCCAGGCCAGGGACUGAACCCACACCACAGCAGCAACCUGAGCUGCUGCAUUGACAAAUCCAGAUCUUUUUUUGCUUUUUAGGGCCCCACCC